CGAUGGCAAAGCUGGAGGUAAUGGACGACCUUUCGAGGGCGCGACGCUCCGCCCCCACCGGAUAAUUCGAGAAACAAUGGCAGCCGGAGACAUGCAGAGGCACGGCGGCACGGUUUCAGUGCAAACACGAAGAUUGACAGCGAAUACUAGAUUCGAAUGUCGCUGCAUGUUGCCAUGACGAAAACGGAACAGUGUAGGUUAAAGAGGCGAAGGGAAAGGCAGGUCAAAGCAGCGACGCACUGGCCAGGUGCGCAGACAUUCCACUCGCCUUGCGGUACGCUCACCCCUCUUUCCCCGGCCGCGAUUAUUUUCUACCUGGAGCGCCACGUUUAUUUCUUCAUGGCGGAUCGAACGAUAUAUUCGAUACAUCGAACCGAUCCGAAACGAUAUUGUGUGUAUGAAUGAAUUCUCCACGAAGAAGGUAAACAUUCGAAGUAGAAUGUUCGUCCCUUUUGAUCAGGAAUAUAUAUGGUUGGCAGAUUCGAAGAGGUAUAAGGAUGGUGAUCGAAAGAAACAAAAAUGGCGGCUACUUGGCGCAUUUCUGAGUUAUAAGGAGCCUCUAUAAAUGAUCACAGUUUACAUUGAAUCGAAGGAGAAUGAAGGAAACCUAACAAGCAACAGGUUGGCACGAUCUCCGUAAGGGGUGGGGAAAUGAGAGAAUAAGAAGAGCUAUGUAAGUACUUAUAGACAGAGAAGCAGAAAACGGGAAAGCAAUCAUCGUUGGAUUUGGUAGGAAUAUCCGUAGAAACGAAAUGCUUAGCACUACGUAAGAACAACGAUAUCGUGACAAGGAGACCGGAUUGGUCGGUCACCUGUUGCCCGCUAGCUGUGAUUGGUCGGGCUCGACAGCGCGUAACGACAGCCAGAGGAAGACAAGUGCAUUGUCGGUUGGUUUAUGAUGGACCAAGAUCAAAAAUAAAUACUACGAGAAUGUUAAUUUCAUAUUUUUGUUAUAUAUAUUUACAUACAUAUA